UGGUCAAGUUAUUAAGGGUGCCGGGCGGAUGCAUUGGUACUAGGAGCCGAUGAGUGACGAUAUAAACUGCGAUAAUCUUCGUGGUGUUGCGCGUAGACUUUGAUCCGAAGAUUUCCGAAUGAGGAAACUCACUUAGAGUAAUGUCUAAGUAUCAUUAAGUGAAUACAUAGCUUAAUGAGGGGAACUCAGGGAACUGAAACAUCUAAGUACCUGAAGGAAGAGAAAGAAAUUCGAUUCCGUAAGUAGCGGCGAGCGAACGCGGAUUAGCCCAAACCAAUAAAGUUUUCUUUAUUGGGGUUGCGGACAUAUCAUAACGAAGAGGUAUCGUAAUUGAAGAGGUUUGGAAAGACCCACCACAGAAGGUAAUAGUCCUGUAUGUUAAACGAGAAGACUUUAGAUAUGAUCCAGAGUACCACGGGACACGUGAAACCCUGUGGGAAGCAGGAGGGACCACCCUCCAAGGCUAAAUACUACCUAGUGACCGAUAGCGUAUAGUACCGUGAGGGAAAGGUGAAAAGAACCCCGGGAGGGGAGUGAAAUAGAACCUGAAACCCUGCACUUACAAGCUGUGGAAGCACAUUUCUUGUGUGACCGCGUACUUUUUGUAGAACGGGCCAACGAGUUACGUUAAGUAGCAAGGUUAAGCACUUAAGGUGCGGAGCCGUAGCGAAAGCGAGUUUUAACUGAGCGUUCAGUUACUUGACGUAGACCCGAAACCGGGCGACCUACCCAUGAGCAGGAUGAAGCGAAAGUAAAAUUUCGUGGAGGUCCGAACCCACGAGCG
rnacentral:rRNA from 1 species